GCUCGAACCAUGGCAUAUGAACAAAUCUCUGACUGGCCGCUCUUGGCUAGGUCAACUUCUAAACAUAUACAUCAUUACCUGCAUCAUAAGAACCUAAUGAGCUAAUAGCUCAGCAAGUUGAAACUGAUGUAAUAGCAAUAUAUCACAUAACACGUUAUUCUCUCAACAUAUACAAUAUCACAUAUAACUUCAUUCAGAUCUUUUCUUUUGAAAUCCUUCUCUUUUUCGGGUACCCUUGAAGUGUGGUACUUGACUGAUAGCAAUAGGCUUUGGUUUUCGGAACCUGUUCAUCAUAUUUGGCCAAUAGAUAAUACGGGGUUUCCAUACCGGCCUUUCGACCUCAGGUAUUAGCCGUAUUUUAUUUCAUUAAUUGUGGGUUUUCCAUGCUGGUCUUUCGACCUCAGGUAUUUGCCACCAUGUGUUGGGUCCGCCGGUUCCUCCCGCGUCCCUUGCCUACCCGACCAUCAAUCAAGUACCAUACUCCCAUUUUCGAAAACAUAUUCUUUCAUAUCCCUAUGACUCAUCAAUCAUUCAACAUCGUGAAGAACACGUAGCAAAAGUCACAUUUAAAGCACACAUAAUUAGGUUCUUAUGAUGAGUAAAUGAAAGCUUCAACUUACCUCAAGUUCAAUAUAGUGUAUGAAGUGAAAAGAUCAGUCUCGUAUAGGUUGUGCUAGAGUCCCUGAUUAGAGAUGAAUUCAAACUUCAAAACGUAGGAUUUUCAGCUAGAAAAGGUGCAUAACUUGUUCUAGCUCUACUUCUAUGAGUUCUUAUAGUUUGAUGUUCUCUUAUGUGAGUAUAGAAGUGAAGAAAUAUGAAGAGAAGCUUAAGUAAAUUGGUCUGGUAGUUUUUGGAAGAAGGCAAGUGAAAAUGAAGACAAAAACACAAAGUCUUCACUUAUCUACCCAUUCCCAACAAGGCCAAAUGGAGGAUGAUGAUUGGAAGGCUUGUUUUUGCUGGAUUCUUGUGGUUCCUCCACGUUUUUCUAGCUUGAGAUAAGAUAUGGGCUGAUGCUUACUCAUUAUAAUCAAGUGUAAACAAUUUGAGAAUGGUCUUGUGCAACCUAGUCAACCAACCAAUCAAAUUGCACCAUUUUGCGUACUUUUGGUUUUAGUCUAAUAUGAGUUACUUCAAGUAAUUAUAUAUGUGAUUAGUCAUAUUAAAAUGUAAUUAAAAUGCAGAAAUGCAUCUAAGACAAAUAUAUCACCGUUUAGCAUAUUGAUCCCUUCUUAACCGAGAAACUUAACUUCUCACUACAAUAAAUCAUUUAAGUUAAUGUUAAAUCAUAAAGUAGAAGUUCAAUAACAUAUAUCAUUUCUUAUCACAGUUUAAGAAAAGUAUUCGAUCACGUAUUAAAACACAAUUAAGGCACAUGUGUAGCAAGUAGUCGUGAUCAUGCAUCAUGAAUAAUGAAUUAUAACUAUAUGCAUUGAUGCAAUAUGCUUAUUAUUGGCCAUGUAUGGAUG
rnacentral:lncRNA from 1 species